rnacentral:rRNA from 1 species
UGUCUCAAAGAUUAAGCCAUGCAUGUCUAAGUAUAAGCAAUUAUACAGCGAAACUGCGAAUGGCUCAUUAUAUAAGUUAUCGUUUAUUUGAUAGUACCUUACUACUUGGAUAACCGUGGUAAUUCUAGAGCUAAUACAUGCUAAAAAUCCCGACUCCGGAAGGGAUGUAUUUAUUAGAUUAAAAACCAAUGCCCUCUGGGCUCCUUGGUGAUUCAUAAUAACUUUUCGAAUCGCAUGGCCUUGCGCCGGCGAUGGUUCAUUCAAAUUUCUUCCCUAUCAACUUUCGAUGUUUGGGUAUUGGCCAAACAUGGUCGCAACGGGUAACGGAGGGUUAGGGCUCGACCCCGGAGAAGGAGCCUGAGAAACGGCUACUACAUCCAAGGAAGGCAGCAGGCGCGCAAAUUACCCAAUCCCGAUUCGGGGAGGUAGUGACAAUAAAUACUGAUACAGGGCUCUUUUGGGUCUUGUAAUUGGAAUGAGUACAAUUUAAAUCCCUUAACGAGGAACAAUUGGAGGGCAAGUCUGGUGCCAGCAGCC